rfam:Seinonella peptonophila strain DSM 44666 genome assembly, contig: Ga0131105_107
CCACUCGUUCCCAUCCCGAACACGAUCGUUAAGCCCUCCAGCGCCAAUGGUACUUGGGGCUCACGCCCCUGGGAGAGUCGGACGUUGCCAGGC